AGUGUUUAGGAUGAAUGCUUAUUAAGCUUAUCAUGAUCCUGAGGCAUCAGCUCAACAAGAUACCCAAGCUUGUGCUUCAUUCUUAUCAUAACAGCUUCUGAAGGAACUACUUGCAGCUUUGGCAUUGUCUCAGGAAUGGUGUUGUUUUGAGCCCAGAUUUGCCAGACUCAUUCAGAAAUCAUGGGUUUGCACCUCUCUGCCAUUCAGGAUGUGAACUAAACAAUCAAGAUAUAUUUUUAAAGAUGAGUCCUGAGUUCUUUGCUGGAAAUUGACAGAAGAAAGCAGUGAGAGG